rnacentral:rRNA from 1 species
GGCGGCAGGCCUAACACAUGCAAGUCGAGCGGUAGCACGGGAGAGCUUGCUCUCUGGGUGACGAGCGGCGGACGGGUGAGUAAUGUCUGGGGAUCUGCCUGAUGGAGGGGGAUAACUACUGGAAACGGUAGCUAAUACCGCAUGAAGUCGCAAGACCAAAGUGGGGGACCUUAGGGCCUCACGCCAUCGGAUGAACCCAGAUGGGAUUAGCUAGUAGGUGGGGUAAUGGCUCACCUAGGCAACGAUCCCUAGCUGGUCUGAGAGGAUGACCAGCCACACUGGAACUGAGAUACGGUCCAGACUCCUACGGGAGGCAGCAGUGGGGAAUAUUGCACAAUGGGCGCAAGCCUGAUGCAGCCAUGCCGCGUGUGUGAAGAAGGCCUUAGGGUUGUAAAGCACUUUCAGCGAGGGGGAAGGGUUCAGUGUUAAUA